GCGGAGGAAAAGAAACUAACAAGGAUUCCCCUAGUAACUGCGAGUGAAGCGGGAAAAGCUCAAAUUUAAAAUCUGGCGGUCUCUGGCCGUCCGAGUUGUAAUCUAGAGAAGUGUUAUCCGCGCUGGACCGUGUACAAGUCUCCUGGAAUGGAGCGUCAUAGAGGGUGAGAAUCCCGUCUUUGACACGGACUGCCAGGGCUUUGUGAUGCGCUCUCAAAGAGUCGAGUUGUUUGGGAAUGCAGCUCAAAAUGGGUGGUAAAUUCCAUCUAAAGCUAAAUAUUGGCGAGAGACCGAUAGCGAACAAGUACCGUGAGGGAAAGAUGAAAAGAACUUUGGAAAGAGAGUUAAACAGUACGUGAAAUUGCUGAAAGGGAAACGCUUGAAGUCAGUCGCGUUGGCCGGGGAUCAACCUUGCUUUUGCUGGGCGUACUUUCCGGUUGACGGGUCAGCAUCAAUUUUGACCGUUGGAUAAAGUCCAGGGGAAUGUGGCAUCUUCGGAUGUGUUAUAGCCCUUGGUCGCAUACAACGGUUGGGAUUGAGGAACUCAGCACGCCGCAAGGCCGGGUACUUGUACCACGUUCGUGCUUAGGAUGCUGGCAUAAUGGCUUUAAUCGACCCGUCUUGAAACACGGACCAAGGAGUCUAACAUGCCUGCGAGUGUUUGGGUGGAAAACUCGGACGCGUAAUGAAAGUGAAAGUUGAGAUCCCUGUCGUGGGGAGCAUCGACGCCCGGACCAGACCUUUUGUGACGGAUCCGCGGUAGAGCAUGUAUGUUGGGACCCGAAAGAUGGUGAACUAUGCCUGAAUAGGGUGAAGCCAGAGGAAACUCUGGUGGAGGCUCGUAGCGAUUCUGACGUGCAAAUCGAUCGUCAAAUUUGGGUAUAGGGGCGAAAGACUAAUCGAACCAUCUAGUAGC
rnacentral:rRNA from 1 species